rnacentral:rRNA from 1 species
CCUACGGGGGGCUGCAGUCGAGAAUCAUUCACAAUGGGGGAAACCCUGAUGGGGCGACGCCGCGUGGGGGAAUGAAGGUCUGCGGAUUGUAAACCCCUGUCAUGUGGGAGCAAAUUAAAAAGAUAGUACCACAAGAGGAAGAGACGGCUAACGCUGUGCCAGCAGCCGCGGUAAUACAGAGGUCUCAAGCGUUGUUCGGAAGCACUGGGCGUAAAGGGUGCGUAGGCUGUUUCGUCAGUCGUGUGUGAAAGGCGCGGGCUCAACCCGCGGACGGCACCUGAUACUGCGAGACUAGAGUAAUGGAGCGGGAACCUGACUUCUCGGUGUAGCCGU